GACGAACGCUGGCGGCGUGCUUAACACAUGCAAGUUGAACGGAAAGGCCCUGCUUUUGUGGGGUGCUCGAGUGGCGAACGGGUGAGUAACACGUGAGUAACCUGCCCUUGACUUUGGGAUAACUUCAGGAACCUGGGGCUAAUACCGGAUAGGAGCUCCUGCGGCAUGGUGGGGGUUGGAAGGUUUCGGCGGUUGGGGAUGGACUCGCGGCUUAUCAGCUUGUUGGUGGGGUAGUGGCUUACCAAGGCUUUGACGGGUAGCCGGCCUGAGAGGGUGACCGGCCACAUUGGGACUGAGAUACGGCCCAGACUCCUACGGGAGGCAGCAGUGGGGAAUAUUGCACAAUGGGCGGAAGCCUGAUGCAGCAACGCCGCGUGCGGGAUGACGGCCUUCGGGUUGUAAACCGCUUUCGCCUGUGACGAAGCGUGAGUGACGGUAAUGGGUAAAGAAGCACCGGCUAACUACGUG
rnacentral:rRNA from 1 species